GUAGAGAGACAGGUGGUGCAUGGUUGUCGUCAGCUCGUGUCGUGAGAUGUUGGGUUAAGUCCCGCAACGAGCGCAACCCCUGUGGUUAGUUGCCAUCAUUCAGUUGGGCACUCUAAGCAGACUGCCGUGGAUAACACGGAGGAAGGUGGGGACGACGUCAAAUCAUCAUGCCCCUUAUGACCUGGGCUACACACGUGCUACAAUGGUCUGAACAGAGGGCUGCGAAACCGCGAGGUGAAGCUAAUCCCUUAAAACAGAUCUCAGUUCGGAUUGCAGGCUGAAACUCGCCUGCAUGAAGUUGGAGUUGCUAGUAAUCGCAGAUCAGAAUGCUGCGGUGAAUGCGUUCCCGGGUCUUGUACACACCGCCCGUCACACCACGAGAGUUGGCAACACCCGAAGUCAGUGAGGUAACCGUAAGGAACCAGCUGCCGAAGGUGGGGUCAGUAAUUGGGGUGAAGUCGUAACAAGGUAGCCGUAUCGGAAGGUGCGGCU
rnacentral:rRNA from 1 species